rnacentral:rRNA from 1 species
UACGGGGGGAGCAAGCGUUGUUCGGAUUUACUGGGCGUAAAGGGCGUGUAGGCAGCCACCGCAAGUCGACUGUGAAAUCUCCGGGCUUAACUCGGAAAGGUCAGCCGAUACUGCGGGGCUAGAGUGCAGAAGGGGCAACUGGAAUUCUCGGUGUAGCGGUGAAAUGCGUAGAUAUCGAGAGGAACACCUGCGGCGAAGGCGGGUUGCUGGGCUGACACUGACGCUGAAACGCGAAAGCUAGGGGAGCGAACGGG